GACGAACGCUGGCGGCGUGCUUAACACAUGCAAGUCGAACGGAAAGGCCCUGCUUUUGUGGGGUGCUCGAGUGGCGAACGGGUGAGUAACACGUGAGUAACCUGCCCUUGACUUUGGGAUAACUUCAGGAAACUGGGGCUAAUACCGGAUAGGAGCUCCUGCUGCAUGGUGGGGGUUGGAAAGUUUCGGCGGUUGGGGAUGGACUUGCGGCUUAUCAGCUUGUUGGUGGGGUAGUGGCUUACCAAGGCUUUGACGGGUAGCCGGCCUGAGAGGGUGACCGGCCACAUUGGGAGUGUGAUACGGCCCAGAGUCCUACGGGAGACAGCAGUGGGGGAUAUUGCACAAUGGGCGGAAGCCUGAUGCAGCAACGCCGCGUGCGGGAUGACGGCCUUCGGGUUGUAAACCGCUUUCGCCUGUGACGAAGCGUGAGUGACGGUAAUGGGUAAAGAAGCACCGGCUAACUACGUG
rnacentral:rRNA from 1 species